rnacentral:lncRNA from 1 species
UAAACUCAACUAUUAAAUGCGCCGAGUGUGCAUCAUUAGGUUCUAUAACAUAGUACCUAUAUACCUUUGAAUUCUUAGCAUAUCAAACAAAGAUGCAAUCAAUGCCCCUUUCUCUUUGAAUUCUAGCAUAUCCAAUAAAGAUGCAAUCAAUACCUUUUCUCAUAAUGUCUUUCGUUUAGGAUUUUGGAGGCGACAAUGAUAGCUCGGGGUUUCUUUGAUUAAGGUAAACCCACUCUUAACCUUCAGUUCAUCUCGUCUUCCUCCCUUUAUCCUAGAUUCGGUUGGAUUUGAUUUUGUAACAAGAGCGAUGAUUCUCUCUUAGCAGUCGAAAAUCCGAGGGCGAUGAAGGCCAGAAUCCGUCGCUGGCCAUGGAUUUUCCUCCGAUCUACUCUCUCAGCAUUUGACUGAAGAAUACGGAUGGUGAGUCGCUCAACUCUCCCUAAUCUUAAUCAUCUCUCGCUCGAAUGCUUAGAGGUUGGAUGAUGAUAUUAGUAAUGAUGCUUACUAGCCUCUGUACAGCAGCCUCCACUGCCCUUAUGUGGGUCUCCCGAUUCACAGUCGUCACCCUCUUUCUCCUGGAACCCUCAUCUGCGAAUUUCAUAGUCGCCGUUCCAUCCCAAAUUCAAUACUAAAUCGAAGAUCCCAGCUCUUGAUUGCCUUCGCCUCUCGACUCCAUCACAGUUGCAUCGGGACGCGAUCAUGCAUAGAUCGAUUCCCUCAUUUUAAGGUAAGCUCGGUUUCCCCCUCUGCUUGCAAUGAUUCUAAUUUGAACUAUGAUCUUUCUAACGAUCCUCGCCUCUUCUUUCCCAGUUCAGUUCGAUGUGGAAAUUCCGCCGGUAUCUUGGAGGGUCAAAGGCUUUACCAGCGACGCCAUGUCAGGUCUGAACUUGUACUCUCGUCAGUUUUUUUUAUUUAGAUUAAUCUUCUCUUUGAAGGAUUUUACGGUUAUUUCCCCAGGUGUGUAAAGAACACAGCGGGUUUGCUGUUCUAGUUGAUCAAGCGAUGUGUGCGGUUCUCAGUGAUCCUGAAAAAGAACAAGGUAAUGUAUUCUACGCUCUUCCUCUCCUCUCGAUUCCUAUCCCGAUGUAUCUAUGUAUCUCUGUUAUGAAUCCCUUCCUACCUUCUAAUUUUUCAAUAGGCUAUUCGAAGUGAAGAAGGCUGGUUAUGGACCAGAGGGAGCACGAGGAAUGGAGGACAACAAAACUUGAUGUCUGAGGGCUCCAUGAAAGUGAGGAAGGGGGGUCGAGAUUUAACUAGGGGGCGAAACUAGAAGGGCGGCCAGACAAGGUCAACAACACAGAGGUAAUACUCAAAAUUAUAAGCUCGGAUAGACAUGUGAUCGAGUAUUGCUUGUCCUUCUCAGCAACAAAGACUCGUGUGUAUUUUAUCGAGAUAAAAUUGGUCUACUUAGUCUUGAUUGGAAUGUCGAUUUGGCUGUUCAGGACAGGAGCAACUAAAGUGUGUUUGCAUCCAUGUUUUUUUCAUGGAAUAAAUAUACUAUCCUAUCUCAUUAAAGAAUCUAUGAUUACCAUGAUUCAUGUAUGCAGGCUAGGACUCGUAAAACCAAUGUUAUUCAAUUGGGCAUUCAUGAGUUGGCAUUAACCCAUCAUAUGUAUUUGCCAAACAAUCUGAAUUGCAUGUUUUGAUAUGACCAUCGUGGUGAAGAGCGAAGCUGGACCAAGAGAAGAUGAAGGACCAGGAUCGAGAACCUAGAAUCAUCAUGAAAGACCAACACAAAAAGAAGAAACAUAGAAAAUAGUACACAAUAAUAGUCAAAGGGAGUCCACAAUUUCCAAACAAGCAUCCAAAAUAACAAACAUCCACAAACUGUCAUAAAACACAACACAACACAAGUCUAGUCACACAAAAGAAACACAAACAAACCAUCAAGUCUAAAAAAAAGAGAGAGAGACAAAGGAACAUCACUCGAACAAUGGUGGAGGUGGUGGUGGCUGCUAGGAUGGGAAAUGGGGAUAAUACCCAUAGUAGCUUACCUCCGCGCUCAGAUGGUGGUAAUACCAUUGAUGUCCAUCUCUCGAAUCUUGGAAGUGGUCUUGUGGUGGGGGAGAGUAGUCGGGAUAGUGUUGAGGAAGUAAGAGUACACGUUCUGAUAUUUGGCCAUGUGGCCAGUCUGCCAACCCUACUUCUGUUGGAUCCAGUGCAUCUCCAUCUAUACUAUCUGAAUCUACUCCCCAACCCUCUAGAAAUUGCUACUCGUCUCACCUCUAAAGGCAUCAAAGUCGCUUCAUAACCCACUCAUAUCCUGUCUGAUGUACCCCAACUGCUCAUCAUGUGACUUCCUGAACUACUUAUCUCUCUGUGCCUCAUACUGAGCUCUCUCAUCAGAACACUAUUGAUGGAUAGCAAGAUGCUCCAUGACAGCCUGCAGAUCGGACAAAUACCCGAGCUGAAGUUGCGGUGUCGAUCUCCUUAACAAGCAAGUCCUGAACUCCAUUCCUUAGUAAUUAAUCCGGGUAGAAGUCAUAAGGUGGAGUCUCGAAGAUGCCCAACACUCCAUAAUUACGGACUGACAAGCUAACAUACCCUCCUUUGUAUAGUACGACAUGCAUUGAGUAGCUCUUCAAUUGCUUGAAGAGAGUGAGAACCAAGUCUCCCAAAUGCAUAUCGAUCUUAUCCUAGCAAUAGAAGAUGUACAUGUCUCGGUUAGUGAGCGCACUUGGAGAGCUUGAAGACGAACGGUGCGAGAUACCGUGGCGAGCAAACAGAUGGAUGAGACGAAGCAUUGGCUUGUGGGUUCGCAGCGCCUUAAAGACCCCAACUACAAACUGAGGCGCGUCUUUGAUAAUGCUACACCAAAAACCCUGCACAUCAUAGAGGGGGAGUCCGGAAACCAUGGCAAGACAAGCCAGCUUACCAUUGUUCAGCUCCUCAUUUGAAUGGAACCUGAGCAUUACCCCAAACUCAUGUGGGAACACUGUGUACAGCCUCCCUCCCAAGCGGAAGGAGACCACCCUCUGAGAGGUGGAAGUGUAUCUCCCGAUGUCAAGUGUGUAGAAGAACUCACGAACCGCGCGAGGAUAUGAAUACUCCUUCACCAUCAUCGCCCUCCAAAUAUUCUUGGUCCUCUUGUAAUAGGAAUGAAAGGGGAACAAGCCUGCUAGUUAACUCCUCAAAAACUAAGUGCCCCUGUUUGGAAACAGAAAGGUGUUGGAGAGUCGCAUAGAGCUUCCAAGACAUAAAGCAUCAAUCGCGAGGUUUUACGGAUCGACGGGCUCAGUAGGAGCUUCAAACAUGUGGUACUGCUGAGGUGGAACUGCAGGUGAGGAAGUACCUUGAGUCGUUUGCCCUGAGGAAGAAGAAUUCUCAUUUCCACUAUGCCUCUUGUUACACUUGGUAGACUUACCUUUAGGAGACAUCCUGAAAAAUAGUCAGCAAAUGUAGACUGCAAAUUGGGAAACAGGAUUCGGGAUUUCCCGUUUCCGUUCCCGUAUUAUUGAAAAAAAACUCGGGAAUUCCCAUUCCCAUUACCAAACUCAAAAUUCGGGUUUGGUUGGGGAAUAAAAUUUCAUGUUCGGUUUUUUGGUUCGAUUCUGGGAUUCCCAAAAUCCCAAAGUUUCUUAUUAUUUUCUAUUAUCGACAAAAGAAAAAACAUCGUAUAAGAAAUGAUUGAUUCAUACGUUAGGGCAUAGCUCAUUUUCGCUUCAAGACUGAAAUUACGGUUCGUGAAACCGAGAGGCCGAGAGUCCCCAUGUCCCUCAAUGGUGAUUCCCGAUGAUUCCCUCGACGGUUCAACCCCUCCUCUCUAGGGUGGCGAUUCCCAGUCUAGACGUCGGAUUCUUCUUCUUUUGCUACGAUGAUUCCCAACGAUUCCCUCAUUGUUCUGGAAUCUGAUUUAAGGUGAGAACACAUCUCCAACCCACUAUGGGUUUUAUUGUGAGGUUUUGAUUGUUUCUUAUUUCUUUGCGUAACAGUGGUCAUCGUCGAUUUGUACAGGUGCGGCUGUUGAUUCUGCGAACACACCUCUACUACUUUCGUCGGUGAACAACAUUCAAUUGAG